CCUCAAUUCAUUUGUCGUGAUAUAUCGCUUACCAUCGGGACGAAAUGGAUUCUACCAGUAACAAUAAUGAUACAGGCUGCACCAGCAAGUAGGCCUGAGGCAACUUCUCAACCUGUGAACAAUAGGAAGUCAGUCAAAGCUAAG